GUGCUGGCUUCAGCAGCACAUAUAAUAAAAUUGGAAUGAUACAGAGAAGAUUAGCACGGCCCGUCUGUAAGGAUGACAUGUAAAUUCGUAAGGCAUUCCAUAUUAAA